rnacentral:rRNA from 1 species
UUCUCCUGGAAACGGGUGGUAAUGCCGGAUGCUCCAGUUGACCGCAUGGUCCUCUGGGAAAGCUUUUGCGGUAUGGGAUGGGGUCGCGUCCUAUCAGCUUGAUGGCGGGGUAACGGCCCACCAUGGCUUCGACGGGUAGCCGGCCUGAGAGGGCGACCGGCCACAUUGGGACUGAGAUACGGCCCAGACUCCUACGGGAGGCAGCAGUGGGGAAUAUUGCACAAUGGGCGCAAGCCUGAUGCAGCGACGCCGCGUGCGGGAUGACGGCCUUCGGGUUGUAAACCGCUUUUGACUGGGAGCAAGCCCUUCGGGGUGAGUGUACCUUUCGAAUAAGCACCGGCUAACUACGUGCCAGCAGCCGCGGUAAUACGUAGGGUGCAAGCGUUAUCCGGAAUUAUUGGGCGUAAAGGGCUCGUAGGCGGUUCGUCGCGUCCGGUGUGAAAGUCCAUCGCUUAACGGUGGAUCCGCGCCGGGUACGGGCGGGCUUGAGUGCGGUAGGGGAGACUGGAAUUCCCGGUGUAACGGUGGAAUGUGUAGAUAUCGGGAAGAACACCA